UACGGAGGGGGCUAGCGUUGUUCGGAAUUACUGGGCGUAAAGCGCACGUAGGCGGCUUUGUAAGUUAGAGGUGAAAGCCCAGGGCUUAACUCUGGAAUUGCCUUUAAGACUGCAUCGCUAGAAUCGUGGAGAGGUGAGUGGAAUUCCGAGUGUAGAGGUAGAAAUUCGUAGAUAUUCGGAAGAACACCAGUGGCGAAGGCGACUCACUGGACACGUAUUGACGCUGAGGUGCGAAAGCGUGGGGAGCGAACAGG
rnacentral:rRNA from 1 species